rnacentral:rRNA from 1 species
CCUACGGGAGGCAGCAGUGGGGAAUAUUGGACAAUGGGCGAAAGCCUGAUCCAGCCAUGCCGCGUGUGUGAAGAAGGCCUUCGGGUUGUAAAGCACUUUCAGUGGGGAAGAAAGCCUUGGGGCUAAUACCCUCGAGGAAGGACAUCACCCACAGAAGAAGCACCGGCUAACUCCGUGCCAGCAGCCGCGGUAAUACGGAGGGUGCGAGCGUUAAUCGGAAUUACUGGGCGUAAAGCGCGCGUAGGCGGUCUGAUAAGCCGGUUGUGAAAGCCCCGGGCUCAACCUGGGAACGGCAUCCGGAACUGUCAGGCUAGAGUGCAGGAGAGGAAGGUAGAAUUCCCGGUGUAGCGGUGAAAUGCGUAGAGAUCGGGAGGAAUACCAGUGGCGAAGGCGGACUUCUGGACUGACACUGACGCUGAGGUGCGAAAGCGUGGGUAGCAAACAGGAUUAGAUACCCGGGUAGUC